UACAGAGGUCUCAAGCGUUGUUCGGAUUCAUUGGGCGUAAAGGGUGCGUAGGUGGCGCCAUAAGUCGGGUGUGAAAUCUCGGGGCUUAACUCCGAAACUGCAUUCGAUACUGUGGUGCUCGAGGACUGGAGAGGAGACUGGAAUUCAUGGUGUAGCAGUGAAAUGCGUAGAUAUGCGGAGGAACACCGAUGGCGAAGGCAAUCCCCUGGACCUGUACUGACGCUCAUGCACGAAAGCGUGGGGAGCAAACAGG
rnacentral:rRNA from 1 species